CCUACGGGAGGCUGCAGUGAGGAAUAUUGGUCAAUGGACGAGAGUCUGAACCAGCCAAGCCGCGUGAAGGAAGACUGCCCUAUGGGUUUUCAACCUCUUUUAUAUGGGAAUAAAAUGUUCCACGUGUGGGAUUUUGUAUGUCCCAUAUGAAUCAGGAUCCGCUAACUCCGCGCCAGCAGCCGCGGUAAUACGGAGGGUCCGAGCGUUAUCCGGAUUUAUUGGGUUUAACGGGCGCGUAGGUGGAUUUGUAAGUCAGUUGUGAAAGUUUGCGGCUCAACCGUAAAAGUGCAGUUGAAACUGGCAGUCUUGAGUACAGUAGAGGUAGGCGGAAUUCGUGGUGUAGCGGUGAAAUGCUUAGAUAUCACGAAGAACUCCGAUUGCGAAGGCAGUUCACUGGACUGCAACUGACACUGAGGCUCGAAAGUGUGGGGAUCAAACAGGAUUAGAUACCCGAGUAGUC
rnacentral:rRNA from 1 species